ACAGCAAUGCAUCGAUGCAGCAAAUAAAGCGAACAGAAUGUUGGGCUUCAUUAAAAGAAACUUUGUAUUCAAGAAUAAAGAUGUAAUACUCCCGCUCUACAACAGUCUAGUCAGACCCCACUUGGAAUAUGCGGUACAGUUUUGGUCUCCCCACCAUGCAAAAGAUAUUGCUAAAUUAGAAGGUGUUCAGCGUCGGGCAACGAAAAUGAUCCCUUCCUUGCGCAACAAAUCCUACGAAGAAAGGCUUUCUACCCUUAACAUGUUCUCUCUUGAGAAACGUCGCCUCCGAGGAAAACUGAUCGAAUGUUUUAAAAUACUUAAUGGUUUCACGAAUGUAGACAGAUCAACAUUGUUUAUGAUCGAUGACACAUUGCGCACGAGGAACAAUGGCGUAAAACUCAGAUGUAGACAAGUAAAUUCAGACUGCACCAAAUUUUUCUUCACCAACGUUGUAGUGCGAGAAUGGAAUAAGCUUCCACCAUCAGUGGUCCAGUGUAACACGAUUGACUCCUUCAAAAAUAAGCUCGACCGUCACUUCCUUCAACGUAAUAUCAACUAGAGUAGAAAUGCAACGUUUUGGAGUCUUCUGAUUAAUGUAAAAUCACUUAGGUUUAAGGACAGACCACCAAGUCUGGACCAUGGGGUCUGUGUGGUCUGAUUUUCUAUGUAAAUCUAUGUAAAUAUUCUAAACAUCGUUCGGGAGGCGCCGCUGCAAAGACAAAGGCAGGAACAACAUCAUCAUCACCAUCAGGACUAUGCCGCCCUACAUGUAAACAAACAGAGUGGUGUGUGGCUGGCCGCGUGGCCUGUGACACCCUCAUCCCCACCCUGGCCAGGCGCGGCGCCCCACACAGCAGAACACUUCCUGCCACGACUCCACUCAGGGCCCCACACCAGCCCCAGCCAGGCUCCACACCCUCAGCCCCACCCUGGCCAGGGCGCGGCGCCCCACACAGCAGAACACUUCCGGCCACGACUCCACUCAGGGCCCCACACCAGCCCCAGCCAGGCUCCACACCCUCAGAGAUGGCAGAAUAAAAGAAAACUGAGUAUUAGACAUCUGGUGAGCUGCAGGAAGGGUUGGGGGCGAGGCUGUGUAUAUGGCUAAAAGUGUUUGCAAGACACUCCGCCAUGCCACUGGGAUCACUAACUGUUGACCCGUGCCCCAUCAGGACGUCAUUGUCUCCAGUCGUGUGGUCCAGUGAGUCACCGCUCUACCGCACGACAGUGACCCCAAGGAAGUCCCGGU